rnacentral:rRNA from 1 species
UACGAAGGAUUCGAGCGUUAUCCGGAUUUAUCGGGUUUAAAGGGUGCGUAGGUGGAUUAAUAAGUCAGUGGUGAAAGCCCGGAGCUCAACUCCGGAACUGCCAUUGAUACUGUUAGUCUUGAGUACAGUUGAGGUGGGCGGAAUGUGUCAUGUAGCGGUGAAAUGCCUAGAUAUGACACAGAACACCGAUUGCGAAGGCAGCUCACUAAGCUGUAACUGACACUGAGGCACGAAAGCGUGGGGAGCAAACAGG